UAAAAUGGCUUUGGGUAGCAUAUAUCCUAAUUAUUUUCUUUUGAUUUGUUUUUUAGUUUGCUGUUAACUGAUUUUGAAGUUUUGAUGAUUCCUGUAAGGCAAGGAUCAAAUUUAGUAGAAGUUCUUGUAUUCUUGAAAUUACAUCACAAGAUUUAUUGAAAUCAAUGUCUUCAAUGUUCUAUUCAAUGUCUCAGCCUAUUUUUCUGAAGAAAACUCUUACAAUUUUUAUAGGUAGAAUAAAAAACAUCACCAAACUCAGCAAAUAACUUUCAAAGAAGAUAUCAUUAAUGAAUAAGUGAAGAGAAAAUGCUUGUAGAUAAAGUGGCUUGAUGUCCAGGAUGGGAAAACACUGGUAAAAAUUUCCCUGCUUAAAAGAAGAAAUCAUGUUCUUGAAGUUGUAUUACUCAUCAAUGAAAUGCAUAGCUCUGAUAACAAAUACAAAGUAUCCUGAGUCUGCCAUCUAACACAUCCAUUGACAUACUGUGAAAAAAGGAAAGGAACAGCUAAUGGAUGUCUUGGAGCAUUUAUUGAGAGGGAGAAAAAAGAGAAAAGCAAUAUUCACUUUGAAAGUUGCAACUUUGAAAGAAUUUCUGGAACACUUGAGAACAGAUCUGUUCUGAAUGCCUCUUGUAGACACAAUACCAUCCAGUCCUAGGUUUCUGGUCUCCAUGGGCCUGGGAACUACUGUUUAGUCCAC
ensembl:lincRNA